AAUUUUAGAAAAAACUUCAAAUACUACACUCUGAUUUUACUUUUUUUCACUUUGGAAUUUUUUAGUUUAAAGUGUAUCAAUUUAGUACCCUAUGAUUUUAUUUUUUUCUUUUAUUAUUUCUUUUCAAUAAUUUUUUUUCGUUAAAUCAGUGAUAAGUUAAAACUAAAAGAUACGGACUAAAGUUAAUAUUUGAUAAACCUAAAUGGAAUAUCUAAAGUUUUUGGUAUAUAAUUUAAAAAAAUGUUAACGGAUGAGCUGAUGAAAAGAGAAAAAUGAAACCACAGAAUAUUAAAUUGAUAUACUUUAACUCGCAUAAUCUUAAAGUGAGAAACUGCGAAACUAUAUGAAUGAUAUUUAAAGUCUGUCCUAAAUUUUAUAACUUUUUAUAUACGUUGGUUUUUAAUUAUUAUAACUAUAAUUAUCAUUAUGCACAUGAACCAAGCUUUUUUGUUUUCUUAAAAUUAUAAAAAUAAACUACUCAAUUAAAACACUCCACAUUAUUAUAUAAAUUUUAAAAAUCUACUUCUAUCUUCUAUCUUCUUUCUUUCUUUUUUUCUAUUACAUU
rnacentral:lncRNA from 1 species